rnacentral:lncRNA from 1 species
CACCCACAAUUUUUUAUUUAUUUAUUUUACUCGCCACCCCCACCCCACCCCACCCAUCCUUCAUGAUGCAGAAAUGCGACAAAGAUACAUGCUCCAUUGGUAUUGCAACUCAAGAAGAUCCAAUUCUUAGGAAAUUUGGUAUAAAAUCAUAAUAAAUUUCUAAAUUUUAGUUUUUCCCACAAUCUUUCAUUCUUGUUUCAAAAUUCAUGAUAAAUCAUUUUUUUUGGAAUUUCCCACGAUGACAUAUAUAUUUCGAUAAAAAAUUUAAAUAACGUGGCAAUACAAUGUAAUUACAUGAAAAUUAUGUGACAUGGCAAUCGAAUUGCCCCCUGCGUUUUAACGGUGAUUGAUCCCAUUAGAGCAGCGCUUGGGGCGGCCUUUAAAACGUGGAGGCAUUUUGCUUUAGUUUUGAAACGUUGAGGUAGGUAAACAACGUCAACCCUGAUGUUAGGGUGUUAAAGGUGACAGGGGUGUCAACGUUGAGGGGGAAAGUGGUACUUAACCCUUAAAUAUGCCACAUCAUUCAAGUUCGGCGCCACGACAUUUAAAAAAUUCGCUGAAAAAUCACACUAUGGAAAAUUUCAAAAAAGUGAUUUAUUAUGUAUUUUGAAACAAGAAUGAAAGUUUGUGGGAAAAACCAAAAUUUGAAAAUUUAUUAAUGUUCUAAACCAAAUUUACCCUAAAAAAAUUGGGAGGUA